AGCAAUUCAGGGAGUGUUUUGGAGAAACCUAUGAAUGUAGCCAGAGACGGAGUAGAGUGGGAACCUGUCAAGUUAAAGCACAUCAAACACAAUCAAGCAACAUUUAUCAGCAGAAAACAGCAUUGCUGAGCUGUCUUGAAAUAAUUCAGAGACUGGAGAGUGUGGCCACUUUUUUCAUUUAAGAAUUCAGAAGAUGGGAUACAAUGUAAUGUGUCAACAAGUGAUCAAGAUGUCACUCUGUAUAAGAAACUGCGCUAGCUGAUUUUGCAAACUACAAUGAACUUGAUUUGUUCCUGAAAAUAAACAGUUUCCUCUUUGCUUUCUCA
rnacentral:lncRNA from 1 species